UAUGCUAUAAAUUAUUUUGGAAUAAUCCAUCCAUUUCUUGGCCAAUCCCCCAUCGUGGGUAGGAGCCACACGUGCCACAGGCUACAACAACAACAACAACAACAACAACGUUCGAUCGCGGUUGAAGUCCCGAGUAGUUUCACGGCCGCUUUCUUUGGGCUAUGCCGUGGACGCGGAGCCAGAGUAUAGUAACGGAAGCAGCAACCUCCCGGCAGCCUUGUGGCGUAGGUUGGGGCGCCAUGGGUUCUACAUGGAACGAGAACCUUCACAACGGAGGCGCCUUGGCGGCUGGAGCGGACUGCUGGGGUGAGGCAACCCCAUAGAAGGGGGAGCUCACUUUCACCUGCGGGGGCGUCGUCCACUUUGAGCGUGGCAGACCAGCAAGAAGCACCACCGGCCGAACCUACGUCAAGUGCAACCAAGAAGGGCACAUGAGCCGGGAUUGUGCCACUGCUGACUAUGGAGGACAACGAGGAUGCCUCAGGUGUGGCGAGGAAGGCCACAUGAGUAGAGAGUGAAUGCAGACACGUGGGCUCGACACACUCAGAUGUGGGUCGCUAGGCUUUGCGUGCAGCCAGAUUACGUGUUUUGUGUGUAUUUUGUGCUAUAAUAGCUCAUUCAUUUUAGGGAAUUUUGAAAUUUGUACUUUUUUGACGAUGAUGUUGAUAAAUAUAUUCUUAUACCUGCCA